AGAGUUUGAUCAUGGCUCAGAGCGAACGCUGGCGGCAGGCUUAACACAUGCAAGUCGAGCGGGCGUAGCAAUACGUCAGCGGCAGACGGGUGAGUAACGCGUGGGAACAUACCUUUUGGUUCGGAACAACCCAGGGAAACUUGGGCUAAUACCGGAUAAGCCCUUACGGGGAAAGAUUUAUCGCCGAAAGAUUGGCCCGCGUCUGAUUAGCUAGUUGGUGAGGUAAUGGCUCACCAAGGCGACGAUCAGUAGCUGGUCUGAGAGGAUGAUCAGCCACAUUGGGACUGAGACACGGCCCAAACUCCUACGGGAGGCAGCAGUGGGGAAUAUUGGACAAUGGGGGCAACCCUGAUCCAGCCAUGCCGCGUGAGUGAUGAAGGCCCUAGGGUUGUAAAGCUCUUUUGUGCGGGAAGAUAAUGACGGUACCGCAAGAAUAAGCCCCGGCUAACUUCGUGCCAGCAGCCGCGGUAAUACGAAGGGGGCUAGCGUUGCUCGGAAUCACUGGGCGUAAAGGGUGCGUAGGCGGGUCUUUAAGUCAGGGGUGAAAUCCUGGAGCUCAACUCCAGAACUGCCUUUGAUACUGAAGAUCUUGAGUCCGGGAGAGGUGAGUGGAACUGCGAGUGUAGAGGUGAAAUUCGUAGAUAUUCGCAAGAACACCAGUGGCGAAGGCGGCUCACUGGCCCGGUACUGACGCUGAGGCACGAAAGCGUGGGGAGCAAACAGGAUUAGAUACCCCAGUAGUCC
rnacentral:rRNA from 1 species